AGAGAAUGCUAAUGAGCUGUGAAAUGACCAAAGAUCUGGCAGCAGAAGGGAAAAGAAAAAAUAAUGGGAACAAGAGGAUUUAUCUGACUCAACUGGAGAUGGCUCCCUUCCCUAAUUUAUUGUUGCAUCCUGAAGCUUCCCCCAUGCUGGGCUCAGUGUGAACAAACAGCGCGGGAGAAUGCAACCACUGCAGAGGCAUAUGUUUGAGAUGCCUGGCCACUGGAGGUCAUCUCGUCUACUAUGUUCACCACAGAUAAAGAAUGAAAAGAGAAUAUACAACCUUGUGAUUGCUAGCAGUGAAAGCUCAGAGUUAUGACAUAACAAGUGGUUGAUCAUACUGUAAAACUCAAAUGUGAAGGGAAGGCUGGAACCUACUGGAAACUGAAUGAAGAUCUAACGAAAAGAAGGAACUUUUAGGAACUAGCAGAGACUUCAAAAUGUUGAGAACUCUCUUUUUUCAUAAGAGAAGAUAAAAACUCUGAUGGUCACACUCAUAAAGACAAAAAACAAAUAAAAAACAAACAAAAACUCAGAAUCACAAGAGCAAAGAAAAUGUAGGUAAAACAAUAACAGAAGAGGUAAAGAAAUUUAUGUGAAUUGGGACACUCUGGGGCACAGAACAGAAGAGGAGAAGAAACAUGAAAGUAAUGCUCUGCACAAGGAUGUCUGAGUGUCCUUGAUUCCAAGGGCAUUUAAAAUUAGCCACUGGAUGAGAACCAUGAAAUGCCAUGACUCUUACAGCUCCCAUGAAAGACAUUGGAUGGAACUUAUCCUAACUGGACCAAAUUCUAAAAAAUUUUACAUGAUAUUAUAAUGAGUUGAAAGUUGAAAAAAAAAAACUCUUCUAGAUUACCAAGAAUAAAACACAAAUUUCUAGCUGACUGAAUUAAUUCUCAUUUCUCUAUAGAAAGAUCAUAGAAAUUUUUUUUUAUCAUGCAAAGAAAUAGCUAAAAAUUUACAAAAAUAUAGACGUGCGUUAGGCAGCUCAUGAGUAAAUGCGUUUUUUCCUUUUUUCCUCCAGAAUUUUGUGAUGUUUAUGAUACUUUUUGGCUUUUAAAAUUUUGUAUUUAAUCAGGAUUUAUUACUUCAUUGUAAGUAAAUAUUAAAUUUGUACUCCAUCUUUGUUUGUAAUUUUGUAUAUUUUUCAGUAAAAAGGACUCCCCAGAUUAUG
rnacentral:lncRNA from 1 species